ACGAUGCGUAGCCGACCUGAGAGGGUGAUCGGCCACACUGGGACUGAGACACGGCCCAGACUCCUACGGGAGGCAGCAGUAGGGAAUCUUCCGCAAUGGACGAAAGUCUGACGGAGCAACGCCGCGUGAGUGAUGAAGGUUUUCGGAUCGUAAAGCUCUGUUGUUAGGGAAGAACAAGUACCGUUCGAAUAGGGCGGUACCUUGACGGUACCUAACCAGAAAGCCACGGCUAACUACGUGCCAGCAGCCGCGGUAAUACGUAGGUGGCAAGCGUUGUCCGGAAUUAUUGGGCGUAAAGGGCUCGCAGGCGGUUUCUUAAGUCUGAUGUGAAAGCCCCCGGCUCAACCGGGGAGGGUCAUUGGAAACUGGGGAACUUGAGUGCAGAAGAGGAGAGUGGAAUUCCACGUGUAGCGGUGAAAUGCGUAGAGAUGUGGAGGAACACCAGUGGCGAAGGCGACUCUCUGGUCUGUAACUGACGCUGAGGAGCGAAAGCGUGGGGAGCGAACAGGAUUAGAUACCCUGGUAGUCCACGCCGUAAACGAUGAGUGCUAAGUGUUAGGGGGUUUCCGCCCCUUAGUGCUGCAGCUAACGCAUUAAGCACUCCCCCCCGGA
rnacentral:rRNA from 1 species